CUUGGAGGGAGGAACCAAGAUGGCCGAAUAGGAACAGCUCCGGUCUGCAGCUCCCAGCAUGAGCGACGCAGAAGACGGGUGAUUUCUGCAUUUCCAUCUGAGGUACAGGGUUCAUCUCACUAGGGAGUGCCAGACAGCGGGCGCAGGACUUGGUACCAGCUGACACACGUGGCUGACAGCAGCUGAUAAUGAAGCCUUUUCUCCCUGGUCCUGAACUACUUCAGUGAAGAAAAUGAACAGUGUCCACUACUCAAUAGAGGUCUCAUUCUAGAAGGAGAAAUAGAACAAAAAAUAAAAAGAGGAAAUUAUAUAUGAAAUCUCCAGAGUGGAGAAAGUUAGACAUUUUAGUCAAGGUCAUGAGGAAACACCUCAGUGAGAAGGGAUGGAAUGUGGCUGUCCAGGCAAGGAGCUUCUUAGGCAAUAGAAAAUCAGUCCUCUCCUGAACUGCAUCUGACUGAUAAUCUCAUAUAUUGACUUAAAAAUGUGCAGUAUAUAGAUUAAGAAAUGUAAGAGUUUAUAGUCUUCGAAUCAGUGUACCUAGAAUUUCCUUGCUCCACCACUCAUGUUGGGAAAAUUAAGGGCACUUUCUUCAACUAGGAGACCUUUGCCAGAGCAUGUGAAGACCUUCUUGGCAAACACCAGCCAUGCUCACUUCUCACCAUCCCCCAGUGCCACCUACUCUCUGCUCAACACUCUCCAUGCCCCUCCCAGAGCCAUUGAUCCCGUUCCACCAGAAGAUCACAUCUUAGAAAUGCCCCAGACAUCGUUGGACAUUUCUUCAUGCUUCAUGAGCUUCAAAAUCUUUUAAAAAUUUAAUGCGCUUAUGAAUCUCUAACAAGCUCCUAAAUAACUUGUAUGCUAUUGUUAAAAAACUCCAAAUAUUAAUAAGUAUUAGUAAAAUGUUGCUGUUAAUAGUAAAUCAGCUAAGCGUCAAAAUGCUACCUGGAAAAGCAAGCAGAAUAGACAUUCCAAUGUUAAAGGGCAUCAAGAGCAAGACUCUUAAAGAGCCUAUGAAAUCAUUUAAGUGUGAGAUAAAAAGGUUGGGAAUUUCAUACAUAUUUAGCAUUGCCUGAGAAAUGUCUCUAAGUUUUUCUUUUUUCACUCUAGAAUAUUACCAAAGUUGCAGUUAAUUACAUUUCUGCUGCUACAAAAACAUUUUUUCAUGCCUCAGUGAUUCAUGAAUCUUCCAUUGUGUGUAUUAGGCAGCAGCUCUUGUAGACAAUGACAGAGAAUAAAAUGCUUCCAGAGGAAACACGAUUCAGGUGUCUGUUUUUGGGUUAUGCGGUGUCAGAUUGGUCCCAUUGUGCUUCAGAGAGCAUUUGUUAUUUUGUGAUAUGGCUACAGACAGGUUUAAGAUCCAGAUCAUCAUCUUACUUCAAAGAGUGUGAAUAAAUGAUUCAAGAAAGAAAAAUAAGAAUGGAGUAUUUGGAUAACAAUAUAUUCUCAAUUUAAAACGGUUUAUGAAGGGAACAAACAUACCAUGCAAAUGAGAAGCAGUUUUAGAAGGGGAAGUGUUGUGCUUCAUCACAACUAAUUAUUACUUGAAUAUUUAUUAGUAGUAUGAGAAACUAAAUGUCUAUGGCCAUACCACCCUGAACGUGCCGGAUCUCAUCUGAAAAGGAAAAAAUAGCUUCUACUUUCAAUGGUGAGAUAUAAACAAAAGUUCUCUUUCAUUACGCUUAACAAAAAAUGUGCAUCUUUAAAUUUUUUUUUUUUUUUUUGAGAUGGAGUCAUGCCCUGUCACCCAGGCUGGAGUGUAGUGGCCCGAUCUCAGCUCACUGCAAGCUCUGCCUCCCAGGUUCAUGUGAUUCUCCUGCCUCAACCUCCCCAGUAGCUGGGACUACAAAUGCACACCACCAUGCCCUGUUA
rnacentral:lncRNA from 10 species